rnacentral:tRNA from 1 species
GCCUCGAAUUUACCAAAAUGCAAAUUUGGAGAAGCACCGUAAAAAGGUGCCGGGGCUU